rnacentral:rRNA from 1 species
UACGUAGGGCGCAAGCGUUGUCCGGAAUUAUUGGGCGUAAAGAGCUCGUAGGCGGUUUGUCGCGUCGGCCGUGAAAUCUCCACGCUUAACGUGGAGCGUGCGGUCGAUACGGGCAGACUUGAGUUCGGUAGGGGAGACUGGAAUUCCUGGUGUAGCGGUGAAAUGCGCAGAGUAUCAGGAGGAACACCGGUGGCGAAGGCGGGGUCUCUGGGCCGAUACUGACGCUGAGGAGCGAAAGCGUGGGGAGCGAACAGG